AUGUAUGAUUUUAGCGGGAAUAUUAUUAAAGAUGGGAGCAUAUGGAUUGAUUCGGAUCAACAUGGAAUUGUUACCUCAUGCUCAUUAUCUAUUUUGCCCGUUAGUCAUAAUAGGAGCGAUCCAAAUAAUCUAUGCAGCUUCAACUUCUCUUGGUGA
rnacentral:rRNA from 1 species